AACGCACAUUGCGCUCUCUGGUAUUCCGGAGAGCAUGCUUGUUUGAGUAUCAGUAAAAAACAGCCUCAACUCGGUGUAAGGAACCGAGUUGGAUUUGAGCCGAUCCCAACGAACAAGGCCCGAGUUUGGUUUUUUCCUUCUCGCGAGGCCCUGCUGGCGGGUGGCUUGAAAAGCAAGAGCGGUUGGAUUUUUGAUCUUUUUUCGCUUUAAGCAUUCACUCAUUUAGUCCGCGACAAACGGAUUAUUACUUGAUGCUUCAGUGAAAUGUGCAAGGUCUAUUAAUUCCAUUGCCGACCUAAUGUAGGGAAUUGUCGAGGAAGAAGGGGUGGGAUUUUCCCCUCCUCCUUUGGUCUCGUCCUUACUCGAUCUCAAAUCAAGCAAGACUACCCGCUGAACUUAA
rnacentral:misc_RNA from 1 species